rnacentral:misc_RNA from 1 species
CAAGUGUGAUAAUUAGUGUGAAUUGCAGAAUAUCGCGAAUCAUCGAAACCUUGAAUGUAAAUGGUGGGAUUUGCCUCUGGCAUUUCCUUUACCCGUAUGAGUGUCUAUUUUUUCAAGUCCGAUACGUCGGGUAUAAAUGACCGUUGACAAUAACAAAAUUCGUCAUUGGUUUAAAUUUUUUUUGUUUUUCCGUAAUGAUGCCGGUAAAUUUUUGUUUAUGAUCUGCAUGUUCUUGGAUAAAAAUUUAUCUUUUUUUUUUACGGGUAAUAAAUGAAAUAUAUAUUUUUUUUACUUGGACCUCAUGCGGGUAAGACUACCCGCUGAAUUUAA